UACGUAGGGUGCGAGCGUUAAUCGGAAUUACUGGGCGUAAAGCGUGCGCAGGCGGUUGGUCAAGACAGGUGUGAAAUCCCCGGGCUUAACCUGGGAACUGCGUUUGAAACUGGGGAGCUAGAGUGUAGAAGAGGGGGGUGGAAUUCCAGGUGUAGCAGUGAAAUGCGUAGAGAUCUGGAGGAACACCGAUGGCGAAGGCAGCCCCCUGGGCUAACACUGACGCUCAUGCACGAAAGCGUGGGGAGCAAACAGG
rnacentral:rRNA from 1 species